GGACUACUGGGGUAUCUAAUCCCGUUUGCUCCCCUAGCUUUCGCGCCUCAGCGUCAGAAAAGGUCCAGUCGUUCGCUUUCGCCACCGGCGUUCCUUCCAAUAUCAACGCAUUUCACCGCUCCACUGGAAGUUCCAACGACCCCUACCUCCCUCCAGCCGAUCCGUAUCCAAGGCCCUUUUCCGGUUAAGCCGAAAGAUUUCACCCCGGACGUGAUCGACCGCCUACGCGCCCUUUAAGCCCAGUGAUUCCGAACAACGUUUGCACGGUUCGUCUUACCGCGGCUGCUGGCAC
rnacentral:rRNA from 1 species